rnacentral:rRNA from 1 species
UCUCCCAAGGCUAAAUACUCCCUAGUGACCGAUAGUGAACCAGUACCGUGAGGGAAAGGUGAAAAGCACCCCGGAAGGGGAGUGAAACAGUUCCUGAAACCGUGUGCCUACAAGUAGUUAGAGCCCGUUAAUGGGUGAUAGCGUGCCUUUUGUAGAAUGAACCGGCGAGUUACGAUUUGUUGCAAGGUUAAGCGGAAAAAGCGGAGCCGUAGCGAAAGCGAGUCUGAAUAGGGCGCAUAAGUAACAGGUCGUAGACCCGAAACCAGGUGAUCUACCCAUGUCCAGGAUGAAGGUAAGGUAAUACUUACUGGAGGUCCGAACCCACGCACGUUGAAAAGUGCGGGGAUGAGGUGUGGGUAGCGGAGAAAUUCCAAUCGAACUUGGAGAUAGCUGGUUCUCUCCGAAAUAGCUUUAGGGCUAGCCUCGAGGUAAAGAGUCAUGGAGGUAGAGCACUGUUUGGACUAGGGGCCCUUCUCGGGUUACCGAAUUCAGAUAAACUCCGAAUGCCAUGUACUUAUACUCGGGAGUCAGACUGCGAGUGAUAAGAUCCGUAGUCGAAAGGGAAACAGCCCAGACCACCAGUUAAGGUCCCCAAAUAUAUGUUAAGUGGAAAAGGAUGUGGGGUUGCUUAGACAACCAGGAUGUUGGCUUAGAAGCAGCCACCAUUGAAAGAGUGCGUAAUAGCUCACUGGUCGAGUGACCCCGCGCCGAAAAUGUACCGGGGCUAAACAUAUUACCGAAACUGUGGAUGAACCUCUUUAGAGGUUCGUGGUAGGAGAGCGUUCUAAGGGCGGUGAAGUCAGACCGGAAGGACUGGUGGAGCGCUUAGAAGUGAGAAUGCCGGUAUGAGUAGCGAAAGAAGGGUGAGAAUCCCUUCCACCGAAUAUCUAAGGUUUCCUGAGGAAGGCUCGUCCGCUCAGGGUUAGUCGGGACCUAAGCCGAGGCCGAUAGGCGUAGGCGAUGGACAACAGGUAGAGAUUCCUGUACCAGUGCUAAUUGUUUAACCGAUGGGGUGACACAGAAGGAUAGGGAAUCGCACGAAUGGAAAUGUGCGUCCAAGCAGUGAGUGUGAGAAGUAGGCAAAUCCGCUUCUCGCGAAGCAUGAGCUGUGAUGGGGAAGGAAAUUAAGUACGGAAGUUCCUGAUUUCACGCUGUCAAGAAAAGCCUCUAGGAAGAGUAGUACUGCCCGUACCGCAAACCGACACAGGUAGAUGAGGAGAGAAUCCUAAGGUGAGCGAGAGAACUCUCGUUAAGGAACUCGGCAAAAUGACCCCGUAACUUCGGGAGAAGGGGUGCUCUAUUAGGGUGCAAGCCCGAGAGAGCCGCAGUGAAUAGGCCCAGGCGACUGUUUAGCAAAAACACAGGUCUCUGCAAAACCGUAAGGUGACGUAUAGGGGCUGACGCCUGCCCGGUGCUGGAAGGUUAAGAGGAGUGCUUAGCUUCGGCGAAGGUACGAAUUGAAGCCCCAGUAAACGGCGGCCGUAACUAUAACGGUCCUAAGGUAGCGAAAUUCCUUGUCGGGUAAGUUCCGACCCGCACGAAAGGCGCAACGAUCUGGGCACUGUCUCAACGAGAGACUCGGUGAAAUUAUAGUACCUGUGAAGAUGCAGGUUACCCGCGACAGGACGGAAAGACCCCGUGGAGCUUUACUGCAACCUGAUAUGGAAUGUUUGUACCGCUUGUACAGGAUAGGUAGGAGCCGAAGAGACGUGUGCGCUAGCAUACGAGGAGGCAAUGGUGGGAUACUACCCUGGCUGUAUGACCAUUCUAACCCGCCACGCUUAGCGCGUGGGGAGACAGUGUCAGGUGGGCAGUUUGACUGGGGCGGUCGCCUCCUAAAGAGUAACGGAGGCGCCCAAAGGUUCCCUCAGAAUGGAUGGAAAUCAUUCGCAGAGUGUAAAGGCACAAGGGAGCUUGACUGCGAGACUGACAAGUCGAGCAGGGACGAAAGUCGGGCUUAGUGAUCCGGUGGUUCCGCAUGGAAGGGCCAUCGCUCAACGGAUAAAAGCUACCCCGGGGAUAACAGGCUUAUCUCCCCCAAGAGUCCACAUCGACGGGGAGGUUUGGCACCUCGAUGUCGGCUCGUCGCAUCCUGGGGCUGUAGUCGGUCCCAAGGGUUGGGCUGUUCGCCCAUUAAAGCGGCACGCGAGCUGGGUUCAGAACGUCGUGAGACAGUUCGGUCCCUAUCCGUCGCGGGCGCAGGAAAUUUGAGAGGAGCUGUCCUUAGUACGAGAGGACCGGGAUGGACACACCGCUGGUGUACCAGUUGUUCCGCCAGGAGCAUCGCUGGGUAGCUAUGUGUGGCAGGGAUAAACGCUGAAAGCAUCUAAGCGUGAAGCCCCCCUCAAGAUGAGAUUUCCCAUUUCUUCGGAAAGUAAGAUCCCUGAAAGAUGAUCAGGUAGAUAGGU